rnacentral:rRNA from 1 species
AUUGAACGCUGGCGGCAUGCUUUACACAUGCAAGUCGAACGGUAACAGGCCUUCGGGCGCUGACGAGUGGCGAACGGGUGAGUAAUGCAUCGGAACGUGCCCAGUCGUGGGGGAUAACGCAGCGAAAGCUGUGCUAAUACCGCAUACGAUCUGCGGAUGAAAGCGGGGGACCUUCGGGCCUCGCGCGAUUGGAGCGGCCGAUGUCAGAUUAGGUAGUUGGUGGGGUAAAGGCUCACCAAGCCAACGAUCUGUAGCUGGUCUGAGAGGACGACCAGCCACACUGGGACUGAGACACGGCCCAGACUCCUACGGGAGGCAGCAGUGGGGAAUUUUGGACAAUGGGCGCAAGCCUGAUCCAGCAAUGCCGCGUGCAGGAAGAAGGCCUUCGGGUUGUAAACUGCUUUUGUACGGAGCGAAAAGGCUCCCUCUAAUACCUGGGGCUCAUGACGGUACCGUAAGAAUAAGCACCGGCUAACUACGUGCCAGCCGCCGCCGUAACAC